ACGAACGCUGGCGGCGUGCUUAACACAUGCAAGUCGAGCGGUAAGGCCUUUCGGGGUACACGGGCGGCGAACGGGUGAGUAACACGUGGGUGAUCUGCCCUGCACUUCGGGAUAAGCCUGGGAAACUGGGUCUAAUACCGGAUAUGACCUCCUAUCGCAUGGUGGGUGGUGGAAAGAUUUAUCGGUGCAGGAUGGGCCCGCGGCCUAUCAGCUUGUUGGUGGGGUAAUGGCCUACCAAGGCGACGACGGGUAGCCGACCUGAGAGGGUGACCGGCCACACUGGGACUGAGACACGGCCCAGACUCCUACGGGAGGCAGCAGUGGGGAAUAUUGCACAAUGGGCGAAAGCCUGAUGCAGCGACGCCGCGUGAGGGAUGACGGCCUUCGGGUUGUAAACCUCUUUCAGCAGGGACGAAGCGCAAGUGACGGUACCUGCAGAAGAAGCACCGGCUAACUACGUG
rnacentral:rRNA from 1 species